AGAAUGGCUGAGUAAGCAUUAGACUGUAAAUCUAAAGACAGAGGAAUUUCCUCUUUUUACCA
rnacentral:tRNA from 1 species